rnacentral:rRNA from 1 species
CGGGGUGAGUAAUGUAUGGGGAUCUGCCCGAUAGAGGGGGAUAACUACUGGAAACGGUGGCUAAUACCGCAUAAUGUCUACGGACCAAAGCAGGGGCUCUUCGGACCUUGCACUAUCGGAUGAACCCAUAUGGGAUUAGCUAGUAGGUGGGGUAAAGGCUCACCUAGGCGACGAUCUCUAGCUGGUCUGAGAGGAUGAUCAGCCACACUGGGACUGAGACACGGCCCAG